CAGGGCUUGUUUACUAAGUAAACAAGAAGAGGGCCUGGGAGGAGAGUCUGAUGAGCAAGGGGAAGGUAGCCAAGGAUGGAGUGAAAUACAAGGUGAGGAAAUUAAAGUUGAGAGACACUAAGCAACUGCCCCAGGCUUCCAUGGCAGAAUGAGGAUUCAGGUCGAGCCUGUCUAACUGUUAACCCCAUCCCUUUCCAUCACAUUUUUAUGCCUACCUAGCAUGGGCCUGGUUGGCAGGGCUCUUGAAGUAGAGCUUCUCAAAUGCAACUGCACCUGUGCAUCUUGCUAAGAUGUGGAUUCUGAUGCAGGACUUCUGGGUGGGGGCUGAGACUCCAUUUCUAACAAGUCCCCAAGUCAUUCCAAUGCUGCUGGCCUGCAAAGCACAAUGUGAGAAGCAGGAGUUCAGCCCCCGCCCCCCUCAUUUUGCAGCAGAAGAAAUUGAGGUUGUUGAAGUCAAGUGACUUACUUCAAGUGGCAUGGCACGUUAGUGGAAGAGGCAGGAUACAGACAUGGGAAUGCUAAUUUCCAGUCCAGAGCCUUGCCUUUACCAUGUGUGUCAGUUACUAGGCUAUUGUCUCUUUGCUCCAACCCCAUCCUUCCGCACUUAGCUUUGGAUGCUGGGGUUGUGCUAUGGACUGAAUAUUUGUGUCCCUCCCCAAAUCCAUGUGUUGAAGCCUAAUCCUCAGUGGGAUGGAAUUAGGAGGUGGGGAAGUAAUUAGGUCAGGAGAGUGGAGCCCUCAUAAGUGGGAUUAGUGCCUUCAUAAGAGACAAGAGACAGCUUGCAUCCUCGUGCUCUGCAAUCCACUGUAUGAGCGUAGAAUGAGAAGACAGCUGUCUGCAAAGAAGAGUGUCCUCAUCAGACUCUAGAUCAGCUGGCACCUUGAUCUUGGACUUCUCAGCCUCCAUAACUGUGAAAAAUAAAUGUUAUUUGAGAUACUCA
rnacentral:lncRNA from 1 species